rnacentral:rRNA from 1 species
GACGAACGCUGGCGGCGUGCCUAACACAUGCAAGUCGAGCGAAUGAAGUUCCUUCGGGAACGGAUUUAGCGGCGGACGGGUGAGUAACACGUGGGCAACCUGCCUCAUAGAGGGGAAUAGCCUUUCGAAAGGGAGAUUAAUACCGCAUAAGAUUGUAGUACCGCAUGGUACAGCAAUUAAAGGAGCAAUCCGCUAUGAGAUGGGCCCGCGGCGCAUUAGCUAGUUGGUGAGGUAACGGCUCGCCAAGGCGACGAUGCGUAGCCGACCUGAGAGGGUGAUCGGCCACAUUGGGACUGAGACACGGCCCAGACUCCUACGGGAGGCAGCAGUGGGGAAUAUUGCACAAUGGGGGAAACCCUGAUGCAGCAACGCCGCGUGAGUGAUGACGGCCUUCGGGUUGUAAAGCUCUGUCUUCAGGGACGAUAAUGACGGUACCUGAGGAGGAAGCCACGGCUAACUACGUGCCAGCCGCCGCGGUAACAC